GACGAACGCUGGCGGCGUGCUUAACACAUGCAAGUCGAACGGAAAGGCCCCCACCUUGGUGGGGGUGCUCGAGUGGCGAACGGGUGAGUAACACGUGGGUGAUCUGCCCUGUACUUCGGGAUAAGCUUGGGAAACUGGGUCUAAUACCGGAUAGGACCAUGGUUUAGUGUCUCAUGGUGGAAAAAUUAUUGUUUUGGUGCAGGAUGAGCUCGCGGCCUAUCAGCUUGUUGGUGGGGUAAUGGCCUACCAAGGCGUCGACGGGUAGCCGGCCUGAGAGGGUGGACGGCCACAUUGGGACUGAGAUACGGCCCAGACUCCUACGGGAGGCAGCAGCGGGGAAUAUUGCACAAUGGGCGCAAGCCUGAUGCAGCGACGCCGCGUGGGGGAUGACGGCCUUCGGGUUGUAAACUCCUUUCGUUAGGGACGAAGCCACACCUUUUUUGGGUGUGGUGACGGUACCUUUGUUAAGAAGCACCGGCUAACUACGUG
rnacentral:rRNA from 1 species